CGGUGGUUUAAUUAAUAACAAAAAGAUGGUGAUGGGCCACCACGUUUUUCUGGUUAAACCCAAAGAUGUUACAAAAGAGAGAAUCCACUGGGUGACAGUGAAAAAACAGAGAGAAUAAACAUCUCAUGGUCAUUAACUACUGCAGGAGGAAACUUAGAUGUAAUGCUAAAAGAACAUGAAAGACACAUUCUAUUAGUUGUUUGAGUGGAUAAGAAGACUAAUAGGGACAGGCUCAAGCGUCUCUUGCUGCAAAUGGCAUCAGACAAUAAUCUUUUAGGACUAAUCAGAAGGAAAAAAAAGUUUGAGGUUUCACAACUUAGAGCCAGUUGAUCUUUUGGUGAGGUCUUGUGUAAAGUUGAAAGCUAAAAUUGUGAAAAGAAGAAAUCAA